ACCCGACAACACCUGCGAAGAAAAGGCGUGUUCUUUCUCAUGGCGUCCACCUCCCACUUGUCACCUUGAGCGCUGUCCUCAAUCCCAAGAAGCACUGCUAAGGAGAAGCGGGGAUAAACUGGUGUCCCUGCGUGGGGGGAAGCUCAUGGGAGACCGUGCACUGCCCGGGUCGUCUCCCCAGGCAGGGUCGGGGAGGGACUUUUUUUCCGGCGUCCGUGGAGGAAUCGUACCGUUGAGCAGUGACCCCGGUUAUGCGGCGGAGGGCUAUAAAAGCAAAAGUUGUGGCCGGUCCAGCAGGAGUUAGCGACAGGGAGUGAUGCGCGCAUGGGUGCAGUUGCGGGGGAGGAAGUGGGCAGUUCAGGGCCUCAGGAGAGUUGGGGAGAGAUGACUGAGUUAGAUGAGACUCGGGGUUUGGGGGUGCAAGGAGAAGGAAGGUUGGCAAAGAGACGGAGACUAGGUCUGGGGGGACCACAGUGCGGCAGGCUGCAUCGAAAAUACGCGCAGGAGCCCACAGGGAGGGCCAGGCUCCAGGCCAGGCUUCCCCUACUGCCUGCUGGAGGGGGAACUUGACGUCUGAGAAGGCGCCGCUCUUGCAUGGCUGAGCAAGCCUCAGUGCCCUCGUCUGUGGAGGGAGGAAGGCAGGGCGAGAGGCCAGGAGGAAUGGGCCGCUGCGGCCCUGGAAAUGAUCAGGAAGGCGGGCAGUGGUUGCAGGGCUGCAGGAGGGUCGGGAGGGCCGAGCUUCAACUUGUCCAUGCCAGCAGCCCUUUUUUUUUCAGACCAAGGGCUGUGAACCCGCCUGGGGAUGAGGCCUGGUCUUGUGGAACUGAACUUAGCUCGCCGGGGCUGACCACUCUGGCCCAGGGUGGUAUGUAAUUUUGGCUCAGCCUGGGACGGGCCCAGGCUGGGCCCAGACUGGUGGAGCGUCCAGGUCUGGAUGCGAAGCCAGGCCCCUGGGCGGAGGUGAGGGGUGGUCUGAGGACUGAUGCGGGGCCAAGGCGCCAUCCUCACCGGCACCUGGCAUGUUUGACAGGCGGGGACUGCGAGGCACGCUGCUCGGGUGUUGGGGGCAACAUUGACCAACGCUUUAUUUUCCAGGUGGCAGUGCUCCUUUUGGACUUCUCUGUAGGUUUGGCGCUAAACUCUUCUGUGAGCUCACUCCACCCCUCCUUCUCCUCCCUUUAACUUAUCCAUUCACUUAAAACAUUGCCUGGUCGUCUGGUAAGCCUGGGAUAGUAGCCGAGUGGCUGUUGGAGUCGGUAUUGUUGGUGGAGAAAGAAAGGCCUUCCCGCUGAGGUGGGGUGGGGCGGAUCGAUGUUGCUUGCCUGCAGAGAGGGUGGGGAGUGAAUGUGCCCCUUUGGGUGGGCCCGCAGCGAUCCAUCUGAAAGUUACAAAAAUGCCUCAUGGACCGCGGUUUGUUACUGUAGUGUUCCUCAUGGCGAGCAGAUGGAACCGGGAGACAUGGAGCCCCUGGCCAUUGUGAGUCCUAGCAGUGCAGGAGGGGAGACCCUGGAGGAAAGAGCCCGCCUCAGUUGAUGCCUGCAGAUUGAAUUUCCAGAGGCUUAGGAGGAGGAAGUUCUCCAAUGUCAUGUUUCCAGGCCUUUCUCAGGAAGCCCUGUAUUCGGGAGGCUACCAUUUAAGGUUUUCAGAUAAGCUUGUGGGGGACAAUCUUAGAAGUCCACAGCAGAUGCAUCCGGCUUGAGGUGCCAUCAGCUUUGAAUAAAUGCUUGUUCCGGAGCCAUGAAUGCCAGCAGGCACCCCUCCUUCCCUGGGGUAAAGGUUUUCAGAUGCUGCAUCUUCUAAAUUGAGCCUCCAGUCAUACUUGUUCUGUGCUUGGAACCUUGCUUCAAGAAGAUUCCUAAGCUGUAGAACAUUUUAACGUUGAUGCCACUACGCAGAUUGAUGCCUUAUAGAUGGAGUUUGCAGAAGGAGCCCCAUGACCUCUCGCCUACCCACCUGUUUGCCUGCCUGCCUGUGCAUUGCUCGGAGAAGUUCUGAGCCUGAUGAAAUAACUUGGGGUGUUGGAAAGCUGUUUAAUUUUAAAUGCCUUAGAUGGGGGAUGUAUUAGAGGAAGCAGAUUGUCAAAUGAAGGGUGUCAUCGUGUGGUGCUAAACUCUGGGAGGGUACACGUUGGUCAUUCUGAAAUCUGUGUGGGAAAUGGCAGGUCUAGUUUGGGCAUUGUGAUUUCAUUGCAGGUUACUAAGAGAAGGGAAUGGUGGGUAUGCCGGUAGUGCCCUUUCGAUCUUGUUUCGUUUUUUUUAAACUUGAAUUUUGUUAGAUUUCAUAAUACUUUUUUGGCAUUCUAAUAAGAGGACCCUGAGGUGGGAGUUGUGGGGGAUGGGCAGAGGAGAACAGCUUGGCACUGGUCACGUGGGAGUUGCAGUGUGGGGGAAUGCAGCUUGGCAUUGGUACUGGGAGGGAUGAGGUGAAGAAGGGGAGAGGGUUGGUUAGGUAUCUAGUGUGGGUGUUGGGAGUGGUAGGAAAUGCAGGUUUAAGGGAACUCUGGGGCUCUGGUGAAUUUAGUGCAAUGGGUGAGCCAAGAAAACACUAAUAAUAGUAAGUUGUUAAUGUUGGUUAAAUUGUUGCUUGGAAAUGAAAAGUUGCUUAGAAACUUUCCAAAGUGCUUAGAACUUUAAGUGCAAAAAAACCAAAACAAAAUUGUUUUGCUUUGCUGCAAGGUGGGCAAGACUGAAAAAGUGUAACUGAAAAAGAUGAUGACACAGAGUCACCAGUUUUCCGAGAACCACAGGGAGGGGUGUGUGAUGCCAUCUCACAGGCAGCGUAAACGUCUUUACCAACUUCUUCCUGGUGGCCAAGGCAGCCUGUUUUAGAGGGUGGUUUUGUUUGGGGUGUGGGUAUUUUCAAGUGAAUCAGUCACUUGUCAGACUUGCAUACGCAGCAUCCCUCGCUGCCUUUUGCCAGCUUCAUAGGUGAUCUAUCUGAAGCUGUGAAGAUGGGAUUUUUCACAGGAGCUGGAAGUCUUAGAAAUUGUAAAUGCCUACAUUGUGGGCUUUUAACGUAUUUAAGGGACGACUUAAGACGAGUUGAGAUAGGCUCCUCUGAAUUUGUAACUCAUUUGUCACAGAUAGCUUGUGAUUGAAAAUUAUGAGCACAGUGAAAGUACAGUGAAUUUCAAGGGAUUUGUUAUGUAAAUUCUGCCGUAGAAACACAUAAUUGUCUUUUCUGUGUUUGGUAAAUAUUAAUCAUGGCAAAAUUUUUGUUUACCUAGUAUCUUCGAAUCUAGUCUUUGUAACGAACCAAAUACCCUUUUGUGAUCACUGUAAAAUUACUAUAAUAUUUGGUAGCAGACAGAAUCCAUGUACCUUUGCUAAGGUUAAAAUGAAUAAUUUAUUGUAUUUUUAGUUUGAAUGUUUGUGCUUUUCCGUGAUCCAAGACUAGAGGGGAAACUAAACUGUCACCUAACGGUUUGGAAAACGAGCUAAAAGGGGAAGGGGAUGAGGAUUGUGGGGAGGGCGUGGGUGAAGUGCCUUUACUACAUGUGUGAUCUGAAAACUACUUGUUUCUGAGCUGCAUCCAAAUUGAUAAAGUAAUACCAAUGGCUUGUUACCAUGUCCCUCUUCCCUUUAAAUUUCACUUAAAUUUUUUAAAAUCAUGGAUAUUUGUAUCCUUGGGAUCUGUCUUCUGGGUUCCGUUUUUUUGGUGUUUAAAAAUAUGUUGACACGGUAGUUCAGUUCUUAACCAGUGGCUUGGACAUGAUACAAUUACUGUCGUUGGAAUUUAGAGUGUUAUUAGUCAUGCACGUAUGGGGAAAUAUUUUCGGGCAUGCUGUUGCGAAAUUGAAACCGUAGAAGUGGGUGGUUAAAAGUACGGGUAUGUUGCUCUGUAUGGUAAGAACUAAUCCUGUUGCAUCAUGUACGUAAUUCCUAAUCACUUUCCUUCCCCUUUACAGCACAAAUAAAGGUUCAAGUUCUAAACUCAUUAUAAUUGUUGUAUUGCUAUGUUAUAUUUCUCGACCCCUAUCACAUUGCCUUCAUAAUGAAGUUGGAUUUAUUUUCAUGUUGUAGAUUUAGGUCUAGAUUUGCUAGCUUCAAGUAAGUAAGGCCGUAUAGGAGAGCAUGAUAACCAAAAUAGAACUGGUAUUAUCCCAAGUGGUCUGCAGACUGCUGGGUGGGUGGGGAGGGAUCUGCUCUAUGUUGGGACUUGGUAAUCAUUUGUUUGAAAUGUGAUGAACCACUCAAACCAAUGAAGGCGAGUGUGUAGGUGGGGAGUGCUUUGCCAUAAUAUUUUAAAACAUUACUUGGUUAGAAUUCUAAGUGGUACUUAUUUUUAUUUGGUUAGGGAAAAGUCUGAAUAAAAUAGAAUGGCUAUAUAAUACGUGUAUUACAUAGUUUGAGUCUUUGGAAGGCUGGAAUGUAUCUGGGAUUUGGGUCUAAGUAUAUGCAUAAUUCUUAUCUCACUAAAGAAUGCGACUUGUUUUUUCCUUUUGGUGAGUGACUGAGAGGAAUCUGCUCUCUGUUGGGACUUGGUAAUCGUUUGUUUGAAAUGUGCUGAGAAGGAAGGUGCUUGAUUCAAAGGGAGCCUCAAGGGAGGCUUGUCCUACUCAACCUGGGCCUGUUGGCCUAAGAAGAGGAGGUAAGGGCUGAACUGGGACUAGCCAGGGGACCAGCACAAAUGGUGGGAGAUCAUGAUCUGAAGGAUUCUUUUCUUACCAUGAGCUGCGGGACUGGUUGCCGUCUUUACAGCUGUGUCUUAUUUGCCUGUGCUGUUGUAUCUUGGUAACCCCUCCACAUGUACACUACUGACAAACGGGCUGGGUAGUGGGAAGAGGAAGUCACUGAGCUGCCCACCCAGCAAACCUAUCUGUGCUCUUGGCACCGCCAAGAUAGGGCUCUGCUGUGUACAGGCUCCAGGGCCCUCUUCCUGCUUGCCACUUCUUUCCCUGGAUGCUCCAGAAAUAAUCCAGGCCCCCUUUCCUGUCUUACCCCUUUGCUUUGCUUUUUACCCCAGCACCUCUAUAACCACCUUUUCUUCUUUUCAGAGCCCUUGUUUCUUCUCGUUUUUUAUGAUUAUUACAAAACUCUUGCUUCCACCCUGGAAAGUAACUGCUAUAGAUGCCUCUGUGUAAAUGGUGCUAUCUCCAGCAACUGUGGCAUGCUGAAGAAGAAUUGACUCAUGGGGUAUAAAUGUUGGGGAUUGGAAGUGGGUAUGAAGUGGCACUUGAUACAGGAGCAAAGAGGUGAGGCCAACUGCUGAAGGCUCAGCUCGCCACCCUCCUUGCCUCCACCCCAAUCCAAGGGCUGGGCCACAGUCUUUGCCUUCAGUUAUCCUCAAAUCAGUUGAGAUGGACAGGAGGUGUUGAUGGCAGUGCCAGCAACUAUCACUCAUCAGUUUGCAUCCUCAUGCAUGGAUCUGAAUUCAGACUUUCUGUGAAUUUCCAGAGGUGUGGGUAAUAUCAUGGAAUUCAGUGAGUGGGCAUGGCUGAGCUUUGCAAAAUAAAAGUUAUGGGGUAUAAGAAAAGCAAAAGUUGAACUUGAACUUCUUUUAAAAAGGAAAGUACCCUGAGAGCCAGUAUUGGUUGAGGUUCCUCAGUAUGCCAGGGUUGGUGACACAGAACUGCAGGAACAGCCUGUGUUACAAAAAGGAGAUUGAUUCAGCUGCCCUUGGUGCAUCUUAUUGCCUGUGAGUGUUAAGGGAUUCCAAGGACCCUUAAUGCCAGGCUAACCUCUCUGUGCAGUGAAGUCUCUGGAGGAAGUGUUAUCCUCUGGCUUUGUGUGCAAAGGUACUCAUGGUGCAGUGCUGGUAUGAAAUGAAGACAUGCCCAAAUAGGCUUACAGAUAUUUAUGAUAUGUUUUCAAUGUUCCUGUCUAACAAACAAAAAUAUACUGAUACUACUUGGAAAUGGUAACAGGAAGAUGGCAAAAGAAGAACUAAACUUACGAAAAGAUGAGCAGGUACGUGUUCCAAGGCAGGUGGCCGUGAUCUUCCUCUGAGUGAGGGCAUCCCCUCCAGCCCCUGCCAGCCUGCUGGUUAGGACAGCCUGCCACCACCCUCCUGGACCCACAGCCAUGCACUGCCUUUCCUAUCUUUUAAAUAAUUCUUCAUUGAGUUCUAAUAUGUAAAAGAAAAGUUUAAAGUUUACAAAUAAGGAAUUUUUUUUUCAAAAUCCUCAAUAAUCUUACCAUUAACAAUUGUUAUGGGCAUGUUUGCUUUUGGAGGAUUUCUUUUAUAUGCAUGGGAUAAGUGCUUUUUUAUACAAAAAUGAGAUGAUGCCAUAAAUUCUGUUUUGUGACUAAUUAAUAUAUAGUGAACACCUUUUUAAAUGAUAACAAUGUUCCCUCGAUUGGCUAUAUCAGUGUAAACACUCUUAUUUCAAUGGACAUGUAGGGUAUUUUCUAGGUUUUUUUUCUCUUAGAAAAUAAUACUUGCAAUGACUUUCCUUAUAGCUCAGACUUUAUCACGUCUCUUUGGGAAUGCAUGAAUACAUUUCGAGAAGGAAAUGACUCUGUGAAACUCGGGCUAAACUGCCCACCAGGGAGGGAUUGCUCAAUUAGUGUUCUGACUAGUGAGGCAAACCUGACGCCUUCCCCUCUUCCUCAGAACCUGUUUUGUCACAUUAAAAACCUUUGCUCCUCCAAUGGAUCCAGUCUGCUUCCCCUGUGGGUGUGAGCAUUGCUUUGUCUGCUGGGGAUUGAACAUCUCUACUGUAUGUUGAUUGGCCAUUUGUAGGGGCCGUGUGUGCAUGACUUUGUACUUCCUAAUUAGGCAUUUUUCUUUUUUUUGUUUUUUGUUUUGUUUUGUUUUUUAAGAUGGAGUUUCACCAUGUUGAUAAGGCUGGUCUUGAACUCCUGACCUCAGGUGAUCCUCCCGCCUUGGCCUCCAAAGGGCUUGGAUUACAGGCGUGAGCCACCACGCCCGGCUGCGUAAUUAGGUAUUUUUCUAAUGGUUGUUUUGUAAUUAAGGAUAUUAAUAACCUUUUGUCAUAGUUGAUGCAAUAUUUCUUUUCCAGUUUAUAGAUUGCCUUUUAAUUUUGUUUCAGAUAGAUAGAAGUUACAUGAUUUUCCAAAGUUAAUUACUGUGGUUUCUGAACUUGUUAUAUGUAGAUCUUUUCUACCCCAAGAGUACAUAAAUAUUAAUACAUACUUUCUUGUGAAACUUGGCAUGGUUUCAUUUUUUUACAUUUAAACCUUAUUCCACCUGGAGUGUGUUGUGGAGUCUGUGUGUGUGUGAGGAGGGGCAUGGUGCUCUCAGAGCCCACCUCCUAAGGCCAGAGAACCCUGUCCUGGGAGGGUUGCUGUCACAGUGAGAGGGUUCACUGCAGAAGACCUUGGGGCCAGGCUGGUGUUUCCCGAAUGGGCCCCUGGUUGUUGCUGGUCCCUGACUCUCGGUUUCCCCAUCUGAGUAGGUUUGUACCUACUAGGUCACUGGAGCUGGUUCUAAUUCUCUUGGCAACUUUAUGACUGGGAGCAAGUUACUUAACCUGCCGGAGACUGUCUGUGAAGUGUGGGUAAAUGAAUAUAGAUGUUUGGCAGCAGCUACUCCUUGUUGAGCUCUUACAGUGAACUCUCCUGCCUCUGCCCUCCUUCUCCACCUCCUCUGGGGCCCAGGUCUAACCACUUUCUCCUGGGACCCUCUCCCUGUUCUGUGGCUGGCUGGCUGCCCGCCUGGCACUGGACCUUUCAUGCAAUGGGAAUCAGAGUGUAUAUCCUGGUCUGGUCUGUUUCUACACUUAAUUUUGUUUCCACUAAAUUUCCCUGUACCGGCAUAGUUCACAAACACAUUUGAAGAGGCUUUUUCUCAGGAUUCUUAACCUUCCCAAAGGAAUUCCCAUGGAUGGGUUCCUAGAAGUCUAUGAAUGCUCUGAAAUUGUGUGUAUUUUUCUGUGGAAAGCAUAACUUUCAUCUGCUUGUCCAUGACCUCAAAAAAGAUCAUGAAUGGAAUGAUUGCAUGAUUUUAUGCUAAUGUGCUUAUACUACAGGAUAUUUAUCCCAUCUCUUUAGUUGUUAAACUGUUUUGACUAUUUAAAUUGUGCAGCUGUGAGCAUCUCUGUAACUUUAGUGUACAUGUGUAUCUCCUGGAGUGGCACUGCCUGGGCAGUGAGGACUUAGGUUUUAUAACUGUCUUCACAGACUCAUGACUCCAGAAAGCUACACUUCCUGUUGUGAGUAUAUUACAUCCAUUUCCCUACAAAGCUACUAACAUCAGAUUUUACAAUUUUAUUUAUUUGUUGCUACUUGUAAAAUUUUUUGUGGUGAAAUACAUAUAAUGGAAGUUUACUAUCUUAAUCAUUUUUAAGUAUGCAUGCAGUAGUGGUAAGUAUGUUUCCACUGUUGUACAGCCAAUCCAGAACAUUUUCAUCUUGCGAAACUGAAACUCUGUACCCAUUAAAUAAUAUUAAACACUGCAUUUCCUCCAACAAAACCGAAACUGUACCUAUUAAAUAAUAUUAAACAAUCCAUUCCCUCCAGCCCCCGCAACCACCAUUCUUUCUACUUUCUGUGAGUUUGACUACUCUAUGCACUUCAUAUCGGAGAAAUCAUGAAGUAUUUGUCUGUUUGUGACUGGCUUAUUACAUUUAGCACAGUGUCCUCCAGAUGCGUCUAUGUUGUAGCACGUGUCAGAACUUCCUUCCUUUUUAAAAGAGCUGAAUAAUAUUCUAUUUUAUAUCUUAUUUUGUUUAUCCAUUCACCCAUUAGUAGACGGGUUGCUUUCAGCUUUUGUGAACAAUAGUGUUACGUACAAAUAUCUUUAUUAUUGUAUUUACAAGUUUGAUGCUGUAAUGUACACACAUCUUUUUGAGAUCCUAUCUUCAGUUCUUUUGGGUAUGUAGCCAGAAGUGGUAUUUCUAUUUUUAAUUUUUUUGAGGAACCACUCUAUGUUUUCCAUAGCAACUGCCCUAUUUUACACUCUCACCAGUAGUGCACAGGGGUUCCAAGUUUCCCACAUCCUCUGCAGUGGUUGUUAUUUUCAGCUUUUUUAUAUCGAAGCCACCCUGUGGGUGUGAGGUGAUAUUUCAUUGUCGUUUUGAUUUGCAUUUUCCUAAUGAUUAGUGAUACUAAUGAUUAGUGAUACUAAGCGUCUUUUCAUAUACUUAUUGGUCAUUUGUAUGUCUUCUUUAGAAAAAUGUCUAUUCCAGUCCUUUGACUAUUUUAGAAAUUGGGUUAUUAAGGUUAUUGUUGUUGACUUGUAGGAGUUUCUAUAUUCCGGAUAUUAACCCCCUAUCAGAUAUAUGAUUUGCAGAUAUGUUCUCUUAUUCCAUAAGGUUGCUUUUUCACUUUGUUGAUUGUGUUCUUUGAUGUACAGAAGUUUUAAAAUUUGAAAUAGUCUAAUUUCUGUCUUUUAAAUUCUGUUGUCUGUACUUUUGGUGUCAUAUCCAAGAAAUCCUUGCCAAAUCCAACGUUAUAAGGUAUUUUAGUUGUUUUAGUCUGUAUAUUUCUGUACUCAUCUCUUUAUCCACUCAUCCGUUAAUGGGCACAUAGGUUGGUUCCAUAUCUUUGCAAUUCUAAAUUAUCCAUGAUCAGGUGUCUUUUUGGUAUGACUUAUUCCCCUUUGAGUAGAUACCCAGUAGUGGCAUUGCUGGAUUGAAUGGUUUUUAUACUUUUCUGUUUUACCACAGUUUUCAUCUGCAUUUUUCCUCUUUGACCACUGAGCAUGUGAAAUUCUCAUACUGACCUUUAUAUGAUCAUGAACUCUUAGUAUCAUUGGGAAAGCCACAUUCGCCGCUUAUGAUUGUCAACCCUAUCCUCCAUUUUUCCUGUUAUUAUUGAUGCAAAAAGCAUCUAUUUUACCAGGACUUCAAAAAUCAGUCUGAUAAGCCUUUGAUAAGCCUAAUAAUAAUAACUGAUAAGUCCGUUGAAUUUGCUGCGUAUUACUUUUUCUUUAGUAGCUAAACAUGUAUGUACUCCUCUGGUUACAAUGAACACUCCUCUACAUUUAAAUUAAUGAUUUACACUGAAGUUGAAAUAGCAAAGUUUUAAUUACUAAAUACUGUCUUUGUUUUUUUGCUCCAGGUCUGUCACUAUUAACUUCUUAUAAUUAAUUUUCUUUUUUUCUGUGUGUGUGUGUGUGUGUGUGUGUGUGUGUGUGUGUGUAUGAAUUUCAAUAGCUUUUGAGGUACAAGUGGCUUUUGGUCAUAUAGACGAAUUCUAUAGUAGUGAAGUCUGAGAUUUUACUGCACCGGUCACCUGAGUAGUGUACAUUGUACCCAAUAUGUGGGUGUUUAUCCCUCGCCCCCCCUUAUCUGCCUUACUUUGAGUCUCUAGUGCCCAUUAUGUCACUCUGUAUACCUUUUUGUACCCAUAAGUUAGCUCUCAUUUAUAAGAGAGAACAUGCAGUAUUUGGUUUCCCAUUCCUGAGUUACUUCACUUACAAUAAUAGCCCCCAGCUCCAUCCAAACUAUUGCAAAAAAAAAAAAACCAUUAUUUUGUUCUUUUUUAUAGCUAAGUCAUAUUCCAUGGUGUAGAUAUACCACAUUUUAUUUAUCUACUCACUGGUUGAUGGGUUGGUUCCUUAUCUUUGCAGUUGUGAAUUGUGCUGCCAUCAAGUGUCUUUUUGGUAUAAUGACUUCUUUUCCGUUGGGUUGAUACUCAGAAAUGGGGUUGCUAGAUCAAAUGGUUCUUAUAAUUUUCUGUCUGGAUCUAUUUCUGGAAAUUGUAGGCUCUAGUUUUCAUUGUUAUUGUUAAUAAAAUGCAGUGGAAUUUAAUGAUCGUCACUUUUCAUUAUGUUUUAAAAUCUAGUAAAUGAAAGCUAAAAUACUCCUCUAAGGCAAGAAUAUUCUCUCUCUUUAUUAGAACUCAAAUACACAGAACUGGGUAAAUCUUUUGGUUCAGAAUAUAACAUGGCUCUCUUUAAUUUUCUUUCCUUGAUUGUUUUUUAAUAAUGUGGUAAGCAUUUCCAAAUCUCCUAUCUAAUAUAAAAACUAGGACAAUACAGACAGUAACCCCUUCCGCUUAUGUGGUCCCACCCCACCCGACUUCCCCUGCCAUCCCUGCCACCCCCCAGGCCAUGGUAAUAAUCAUCCUGAAUCCUGGGUUUAUCUCCCACCUACUUUCUUUUCAUAUAACUUUGUAAAAGAAUCUGAUCUAAAUAUGUUUUUCAAAUUAUAUAUUUAUAUUUUAGUUGUUCUUAGCUUAUAGAAAAGUUAUUUUGGAUGUAAUCUUAUGUUAUUUAAGAUUAUGUUAAUCUUAUUAAAUGAGAUGUAAACAUUCUCAUUUAAUAUGGUAAGAUUUAUCCCUUGCCCAUGGGGUAUUUCAUUUAGUUUAUUUACUGGAUAGAGCCCAUCAUGUAACUGUACCUCAGUUAGUUCAUCAAUUUUCCCAUCCAUGGUGACAGGGUUGCUUCUCUUACUUCCGUCAGUGUCGUUGAAGAAGUGAUAUGUGGGUGUUUUCUCAUUACACAGAGUUGAAAGGUGACUGACAAGGUUGGCACUACCAAUCCCCCAUACUCCAGAGGUAACCAGUGUUACCAGUUUGCUGGGUUUCCUGCUAGACUUACAUUUGUAUCUUAAAAAGAUGUUGCAUUGUGUUUCUUUUCCAUAGAAGUGGGAAAAUACUAUUGUAUACUGUACUAUUGAUUACUUUUUUCAUUUAACAGUAGGGAGAUGCCUGGGAGUGCACACAGAACUUUCCUCACUGUUUUCAACUGCUGUGCAGUAUGUCUGUGAGUUAUUUAGCCAUUCUGCCAUUAAUGGAAAUUUACAGUAUUUCUCAUCUUUUGAUAUUACAAACAAUACUGUGUGAUCAUCGUCAUACACAGCCCCUUGUGCACAAUGCAUGAGUGUUUCUCAGGGUAGGUACCAAGAAGCGAAAUUGCUGGGUCAUAGGAUGUGGGUCUGACGUUUUCCUCUGUUCUGCCCUGUUGCCCUCCAGAGUAUUUGUCCAGCUUUGCACAGCUGAGUAUGAGAGUAUCUGUUGUUCAUAUCCUCUACGACGCUCUAUAUGACACUAAAAUUUCUGCUGGUUGCUUUCUUUGAUCUGUCAUGUAUGCAGUGACCCACUAAAACUUCAGAUGGUAUGAUAGAUUCUAGUCAUCUCUGUGUGAAUUUAGCAUUCAUGGGAUUAAUGCUAAUAAGGCCCCCAGGGUCCAAGACAUGUAAUCAAGUAUAAUUUUGUCAAGGUAUAAUUUUUUUAAUUGCUCUUAUCACGUGACUGCUGGGGACGCCCAAUCCAGUGCUCUGCACCCGGUCACACUGCGGCUUUGUCGUCUGCGUAUCCCUGCAUUGAAGCACUGUCCUGAGGGGACCAAAAUCAUGCAGAUUUAGGUAAGUCCAUGGCUAAUGUUCCUAUAUUAUGUGUUCUUAUAAUGACUGGGGCUGUGGAGUGUAUGAAUUUAUAAAUCACUAGUCUUGUAAUUAAAACUCAAACACUAUAGAAAAAGGCCAUAUAGAAGAUAAAAGUUCCUCUAUAAUUCCCAAUCCCUGAGACAACUACUGAUGACAACUUCCUUUAUAUUCCUUCAGACAUUUUCUGGCUGUGGAUAUCCUAAAAUUUAUCCUAUUAUGCUCUGCCCUAAAAUGGAAUCAUAUAAUAUGUACUAUCGUUUUUAUGGCUUUAUAACAUGUAAUAUUGUGCAUGUUGGUGUGGUCGUUUUAACCAUUUUUCUAGUGAUGGGUUUGAGGUUACUUGCAGAGUUUUCUAGCCAUCACAGAGUGCUGCAGGGUGCAGAGCUGAGGCACCCAGAGGCAGUGCCCAGAGGAGGCAGCAUCUGUAGGUGUCUUCACCUGCUGUGGCUCUUGGCACACCUGGUCAGUGACACUGUUUUGUGAGAUGGAUUGAAAGCAUCUGCUGCUAAAAUCGGUAAUGCUGGUGCUCUCCUCAGGUGCCGUGGAAUUCACAUAAAACUGCUUAGUGUCCAUACCAGAAUCAAGUAUAAUAUGGUGCCCGGCUAAGCACAAAACAGUAAUGGAUCCUGCAGAUCCCAGAGUCUAAUUCCUGGUAUUCUUUCCCCUAAGCAGGUUCAAUAAACAACAACAACAACAAAAAAAACAACCAAACUAUUCUAGGAAUGCAGCUGUGACAUUUGUAAAAAAGCAGUGUUUAAUGAUCUCUUAUUCACUUGUCUGUUUAGUUUGUCGAAAUGUUACCUGGUCGAGGAAGGAAUGCUGUCUGUACCUGCCCUCUGCUGGGCACAGCGUGGCUGCUUCAGGGGCUAAGUUCAUGCUCUCUGUCCUCUAAGGGGCCGUCACAUGCCAGGAGCUCAGAUGUGAGCCCUGCCCUGGCUCUUACUCACCUCAUAGGGUCACUGGUAGGGGCACAGGGAGUUGAACAUUGUGCACAGCAAGCCACCACUGGCUCAGCAUCUGCCCCGCUGGACUUACUACUUCUAGAAGGCAAUACCUGAGUUCCUCUGGCCUCAGCUACUAGAGUGACUGGUACACUGUCCGUCUUACUCUUCCUUCCAUCAGUGUGACAACUGUGUGACCCACCAUCUGUGUGUCAAAGCAAGGCCCUGCCUCAUCCUCUGCUCCUGUGCUGACCCCAAAGGCAAAUGCUCUGCUGGUUUCCUUCCAUUUCACUUCACCUAUUAAUAGAUGUGUGAAACUGUUCAAAGCAAUACAUGCCUGCACAUGUUCAAACUUCAAACCCUGUGAGCGAUUCAGUGGCAUCUUUCUCUAACCCCCAGCCUCCCUUCCCACAGAGGCAGCUGUUGUGGCCAGUUGCUGCAGUUUCUUUCUGGAGAAUCUGUAUUUAUGAAGCUGUACAGGUAUACCACAUAGCCUGUCUUGCACUUCGGACUGUUGAGUUACUGGUACAUCAAGGUGAGCACUGUAUAUCUGUAUUCACGUCUGCCUCAGUCUUUUCAACAUCUGUGUGGUAGCUGUGUUUGAAUUACCCAUUCCCUUUUUGGGGAACCAUUAAGUUGUUUCAGCAAUUUUUACUGUAGAUAAGGCUAUACCGCAUAUCUGUGUACCUGUGUUUUUAUGUACAUGGGCAAGUAUAUCUGCGAGGGAAAAGUUUUCUCAGGAGGAAGUCUGGGCACAGCACGUGGAAAUUUCUGAAUAUGAUGGACACCCCCAGCUUCCACCGUAGGGAGCUUGGUCCCAUUGACAUUUCCCCACACCUUCACCUGGGCUAUGCUCUCAAACUUGGUUAUUUGUCAAUGUGAGAAGUGGAAAAUAGUAUUUAAUUGUAGUUUUGAUUUGUAUUUCUUUUGGGUUAUAUAUUUACUGAUACAUAUUAAGGAAAUUAACCCUUUGUAAAUACAUUCCUGUUUUUCACUGAUUUUUAAGUUUUAUUAUAAUAUUUUGCUCUUCAGUUUAUAUAUAUAUAUAUACACACACACACACUAAUUUUGUUUUAUGGUUCCUGGAUUUUAUGAGUAGUUCAAAGAGGCUAAUCCAGCUGAAGCUUUUUUUCUUUUGGUUAAACCCCAUGUUUUCUCCUCUCUUUUUAUUUUUACUUUGGAGGGCUCCAUCUGGACUUAAUUUUAGUGUAACGAAUGACAGGGUUAGUUAGCCUGUUGCCCUUACACCGUUUUUCUGGCUAACACAGCUGUUAACUAUUGAUCUGUUUAUUCACGUGCCAGUUCCUAAUGGUUUUACAUAGUGUCAUCUGUACUUUAAAAAAGCGAAACGAAAGCCCUACCUCAUUAUUCUACUUUUCCAGAAUUCUCCAGGCUGCAUGUUUACCUUAACCUCCCCCGUGACAUCUUCAUGCCAUUGUCUUCUUAGGAGAGAAUAAGAGUGGGUUUUGACUGCCCCCAUUUCUGAGGCCUUGUAGGCCAGAGCUUUGUUGCCUCAUCGGCAGGUUGGGACUUAGAUGGCCGUGACCGUUUCCUCUCUGCUGCUGCAGUAAGUAAGUGCCUGCACCGUGUGUUUGGGGGCUGAAGUGGAAGCGGGGCUGUGAGGGGAGAUGGACAUGUGAGGGGGACGGGGCAUGAGUGAAGUGGGGGAGGGGUUGAAGGCAGUUGGCCCAGCAGGUUCCCCGCCCUUUUUGAGAGGUCUGAGGCCUGCAGGCCUGGCUCAGAGCCCAGCUGGUAGUCCCCAGACUGUGUGUGUGUGUGUGUGUGUGUGUGUGUGUGUG